rnacentral:rRNA from 1 species
AAGCUGGCGGCAGGCCUGUACAUGCAGUCGAGCGGAUGAAGGGAGCUUGCUCCUGGAUUCAGCGGCGGACGGGUGAGUAAUGCCUAGGAAUCUGCCUGGUAGUGGGGGAUAACGUCCGGAAACGGGCGCUAAUACCGCAUACGUCCUGAGGGAGAAAGUGGGGGAUCUUCGGACCUCACGCUAUCAGAUGAGCCUAGGUCGGAUUAGCUAGUUGGUGGGGUAAAGGCCUACCAAGGCGACGAUCCGUAACUGGUCUGAGAGGAUGAUCAGUCACACUGGAACUGAGACACGGUCCAGACUCCUACGGGAGGCAGCAGUGGGGAAUAUUGGACAAUGGGCGAAAGCCUGAUCCAGCCAUGCCGCGUGUGUGAAGAAAGUCUUCCGGAUUGUAAAGCACUUUAAGUUGGGAGGAAGGGCAGUAAGUUAAUACCUUGCUGUUUUGACGUUACCAACAGAAUAAGCACCGGCUAACUUCGUGCCAGCAGCCGCGGUAAUACGAAGGGUGCAAGCGUUAAUCGCAAUUACUGGGCGUAAAGCGCGCCGUAGUGGUUCAGCAAGUUGGGAUGUGAAAUCCCCGGGCUCAACCUGGGAACUGCAUCC